rnacentral:rRNA from 1 species
CAUGGCUCAGGACGAACGCUGGCGGCGUGCUUAACACAUGCAAGUCGAGCGGUAAGGCCCUUCGGGGUACACGAGCGGCGAACGGGUGAGUAACACGUGAGCAACCUGCCCCUGACUCUGGGAUAAGCGGUGGAAACGCCGUCUAAUACCGGAUACGACCCGCCACCUCAUGGUGGAGGGUGGAAAGUUUUUCGGUCAGGGAUGGGCUCGCGGCCUAUCAGCUUGUUGGUGGGGUAACGGCCUACCAAGGCGAUUACGGGUAGCCGGCCUGAGAGGGCGACCGGCCACACUGGGACUGAGACACGGCCCAGACUCCUGCGGGAGGCAGCAGUGGGGAAUAUUGCGCAAUGGGCGAAAGCCUGACGCAGCGACGCCGCGUGGGGGAUGACGGCCUUCGGGUUGUAAACCUCUUUUACCACCAACGCAGGCUCGAAGUUCUCUUCGGGUUGACGGUAGGUGGGGAAUAAGGACCGGCUAACUACGUGCCAGCAGCCGCGGUAAUACGUAGGGUCCGAGCGUUGUCCGGAAUUAUUGGGCGUAAAGAGCUCGUAGGCGGCGUGUCGCGUCUGCUGUGAAAGACCGGGGCUUAACUCCGGUUCUGCAGUGGAUACGGGCAUGCUAGAGGUAGGUAGGGGAGACUGGAAUUCCUGGUGUAGCGGUGAAAUGCGCAGAUAUCAGGAGGAACACCGGUGGCGAAGGCGGGUCUCUGGGCCUUACCUGACGCUG